GUGAAAUACCAAAAGCAGUAGCAUAUUGUGAUAUUUUAUUCAAUAUCUCAGCAUUAGCUUCAGUGGUACCUUGCUUAAGUAGUGUGUUUUAUCUGUAUUUUUGUUGGUUGAGUUUCAUAGUACUUUGCAGUAGGAGAAUCUACAUAAGGAAAAGGUCAUGUGUAGAUCAUCUAAGUUUUCUCUUAAUGAUACUGGAUUGUGCUCUGUAUUUUUGAGAGAUUCUGACUUUUCCAGCUUUAAACGCUAAUAUCAAGUCAUAGGUGGUGAUAUUUCUAUUAUUUGGCAUUAAAUUUUCAUUAAAUAAUAUGUAUUGAAAAUAGUGUGUUCUCAGAGACGGACAGCAUCCCAUAUCCGUAUGGAAAAUAAUCUGCUUUAAAUCCUAAGAACUUUUACUGGGUAACUAGUAAACUGUUUAUUACUGCUGUUAUGCAGUCAUUUUCUCUUCUCUAACUGCACUCAUUUAUACAGUGCAAGUGAUAGAAUAUAGAUGUCCACUUUCUAUUCAGUCCAAGUCUCAGUAUCUCAAAGCUGUUACUUCAAGGAAGAACAGUUUAAGCUAUAGACCAUAGCCGUUGUAACAAUGAAUGGAUUCCAAAGGAGACUACAGGAAUCUUGUUAAAGUUAACAUUUCAGACUUUCUAAAUCCUGUACCCUGGACACAUUCCUUUACCUUUCAUUGAAGAUAUCCAUGUGUGGUUCCAGUGAUAGCAUUGUUGUAAAUGCGGUUGUUCAGACUGUUUUGUUUACAUAAAACUCUUCCUUUCCCCCCCUGCCCCACCGUUGUUUUCACUGUUCACAGUGUUUUUACUUAAAUCCAUCAUUUUGAUAAUUUUAACGGGACAAUUCUAUUUCAUGUACUUAUGGCACUUCAUGUGAAACAGUUCUGCCUUCAUUUCCUGUUUAUUUUUAGAUGUUAAUUUUCAGACUUUUUCCAUCCCCUUGGGUUUUUUAAAAUCCUGUUUGGUACAAACCAGGGUGGUCCAACUGGCAGCCCAAGGAACAAUUCCAUCUGGCCUGCUGCAUUUGCCAAGGAGGAGCUAGGAAAUGCCUGUAAGGGCACGCACUGCCCUCACAAGCAAAUAUUACCUAUUGCUCAGAUACUUAACCGUGCUUAAAGCCCAACUGUUGUGCCUUGUCCAUCCAGAAAAAGAGGCUGAGACUAGUCUUACCCUUUUUCUUGAGCUCAGCCAAAUGUCUGGAGGGGCUAGCUACGCUUUCAAAACAAUCUUCAAGGGGGGUGUUUCAAGUGGAAAAUUGCACCUGUCCUGAAAAAUCGUGGGCUACUGUUGUUUUUCUGGUUAGGUUGACAGAAAACUCUGCUUAAUUCUCAGAUCAGUUGGAGCUAGUUAGAAUUUUAAUAUCAACCUUAGCAAAACUGGUAUUAUUCAUUCAUGGUAUCUUUGCUGGCUUUGCAUUUGUUUUCUGUAUGUGCUUUCUGGCAUUUCACUCUUUUUCCCUUAUUCAGCUUAUCAUAAUGAUUAUCAAGCUCUGUCCACUGAAAUCACUGUGAGAACCAACUAUUUUUUGUGUAACUAAUUAUAUAACUUCAAAGGAUUUCAUUUGGCUGCUGUGUACUUAUUUCUUUGUUGGAUAAUAUUCUACCUUUAGAGGUACUGGGGUGCCAUACUUGAAAUGAGUGCAUCUGCCAGCAUGCAGUUUCUCUCAAGGAGUCAUCACAGAAGCUGAACUUAUCCUAUGUAUUUAUCCAUUGUGUUUAACAUUAGCUCCCAAUCUAUAAGAAAACGAGCAAUACUAAGCAUAAGCUCUAACCAGUGCCUCAUAAAACAGUAAUAUCACAUAUUUUGUUGUAUAUUCCACCUCCAUUAAAAAUAAUUAUAACAAUUAGGUGGAAUGAAGCAGACUACAGCUUGGUAAAAGACUGCAAUAAGCAGAUACCAUUUACUAUUACCACGUAUCUUUGAGUGAUGACAGCAGAACUCUGCCAGUUUCGGUAUCCUUAUUCAAAGCACUGUUGCACAUGGAAUUAUCAAACAUGUAAGAGAAAUGUACAAAAUAUAACACAGCAUAUACAUUUUAUGCUAAUGGCUUUUAGCAUCCUACUACCUUUUAAAUUGUAGAACAAUAUUGGAUUAAUGUUUGUAACUCAGAAGCCCUUUCCUGUUUAGAGCGUUCAACAGCACAACUGCUCUAUUCAGUCUGCGCUCAUUUAUUUUAAAAUAUUUCUUUUUGUUUAUUGUUCUUGGUCCUCCACUCUGGUCUGUAGUGUUCCCCAUUUGUUCCCCAUUAUACUCUGCAUCUCCAAUUUUGGUUAAAAAACCGCCAUGUAUUUCUGAUACAGAUCAUCUUGCCAGGGCUUCUUUUUGGUCUUCAUUAAUCUCCCUUGUUUUCUCUCUCCUCUUUGUCUUUUCUUUCUUAUUGUCUUGUGUCUCACUCUUUUUGCUAUCUAUAGCUAGGAUGUCUUUCCUUACGUCUUUCUUUCCUUUUCCUUCUUUUUCCAUUUAAUGCUCAGCUGUUUUUUUAAUACUGGUUUUCCUCCAUCUUCUUUUGGUGUUCCAUUUCUUCUCUCUGAUUUUCUCUCUGUAUCUUUCAGUCUUUUUUCUUUAUCUUUCUGUCCUAUUCAGUUUGCUUUCUGUCCUGCAUGCCUGAUUGUUUCCCUUUCUCUUCCUUAAUAUUGUCUAUCAUCUGAAAGAUGACUGAUAAUGACAGAAAAGAGGAAAGGAAGACAACAGCUGAAGGAAUUAAGGCAUGAAGUAACUUUCAGAGAAGGCUUUUUUUUCAGGAACAAAUAAUUGAAUGAAAUCAUCAAAUAAGAACAGAAACAAACAAACAAAAAAGACUAAAUUGCUUAUGGCUGAUUAUUCAUUAGUGAAUGGAGUUUACUUGAAAAUUGUGGUUGAUGAUGUUGUAGGACUAUGUGACAGCUUGCUCAAAAGUAUAAAAAGAGUAAGUAGAGGCAAAAAAAAGUAGCCAUAACAUAGUCAUAGGGUGCAUCUAGUGAUGUCCAUAGAAAAGGUAGGAUAAGGAUAGGCUAGUGAAAGAAGUAAAUACAGAAAUAAGACCAGGAGACUAUGCAGUCAUACACUAAGUAUGAAAAGAUGGUGAAUCAGAGGCAAUAAAGACUUACAUCAAGUAUUUGGAGCAAGUUGAAAAACAGAAAAAGUAGCAUGGAACUGAGAACAAGCAGUGAUUAUUCUGCUACGUAAGAUGGAAAAACAGGAACAGUGGAAAUGGCAGCAGAACCAGCCUACUGAGGGUACCAGACACACUGUUCAUUAAAGUAAUUUCAAACAGGAUGCAAAACUAUCUCGAUAAGACAGUGAUGCACUAGGAAAUGAGUGGUUUUUAAAGGGUGUGGUGCAUUCUGAUUAAAUGGUCCCUUGACUAGACUGUAGAAAGUGAUCGGUUAGAAGAAUUUAGGUCAUACUUACCCAUCAGAUGGUGGUUACUCGGUAUUUUUAAAUUGUACUGGUGAACUGUCCAAAUUUUUUGUCUCGAUUCUGUUACUUGUAUUCAUGUUUUCUGAACAAAAAUGUAUUUUCAGAGUUUUUACCCUGAUUUAGGGAAAUCACUGCCACAAGCAGAGUGUAGCAGGUCACUGGCGUAACUGGAAUAACAGUCCUGUAAAAAUGUAACAAGUUUUUCAGGGGCAGUGUGUGCAAGAAAUCAUUUUUUCAAUAUAAAUGUUCAUUCCUGCUGCUUCUACAGCAUUUCUAAAAUGCUUGUCUUGCCUCUGUGGCUACCAAAGAUUAUCAUUAAGUGGUGUGCAUUAUCACAGUAUGUUGCUUGGUGAAAACUUGAGAGAAACACCAGUGAAUCAUCUAUAGUUUACCAGUACAGUGAAUAAUUUGAUGGCAUUACCUUUGUGGCCAGAAUGUUUUCUAGCUUGGAAGUCUCAUGUCCUGGAAAAAUUAUCCAAGGAAAAGGUAUCAGAUACCCGAGUACCAUGAGUUUCCUUAAACAAAUGUGAAAGAAGCGUAUCCUUAAUUAAAACAUAAGCAAAGUAUGCAACAUUUAACCGAAAACCCAACAUAAAGGCAAAGUUGGAUAGAAUAGAAGACAACACAAAGUACUUUAGUGUACUCUCGUUGUGCUAAAGAAAUCUCACCAGCGUCUGUGGGACAUGCGCGUACGGAAUGAAGAGUAAGAGAUGUAUAAUAUAUUAUUUGUUUUCAAUUAUUGUCUUGGAGAAGAGAAAAAUAAAGUAGAUUAAAAACAUUUCAUUAAAAAAGAAUACUGAAGAACAUUUUAUCUGGGAAAUGAUUACAUACUGCAGAUUGAUUACAGUAGUGUUAUUUUAAUGUGUGAAUGAUUCAUUUUUAUAGCAAUUUGAAGAUGAGAAAGGAAAAAGAACAGGCAGUGCUGUACUUUAAAUAGUUAUGGGCACUCAACCUGCAGUCCUGCCAGUUGCAUGGGGCUAAAAUGAAUGGAAACAAAUAAAGCACAACACAGGAACAGUGAGGAAGUAGAUGAAACCUGGUCAUGAGGAUAUGAAUUAUUAUUGAACUCAGCAAAAGUAUAUGCAAGUACGCAUAUAGUAACAACUAUUUUCAUUAGAAUUGACAUAAGAUGAAGAUAAAAUUUAUUUAACAUGUUCAGUUUGUGAUGAAAGACCAAUCCCAGCAUUUGUUGUUAGAUAAAUAUUAAUAGGAAUGUUGUUUGAAGCAGAAAAAAAAUAGCUGAGGAGCAAAAAUGUAUCUAAUAGGUCCCUUUUUCAGUGAAGAUUAUAAAAUAAAGACGAAUGCAGAGUAUAUGCAUGUUUAUAACUUACACAGUGCUUCAUAAAAUCAAAGGUUAAGAACUAGUUUAUACGCAUUUGUCCUCAUGCAUUAACAACUCUUUAACUGACAAAAUAUGAGCAAUAUUCAAGUGCUAUUUUGU
ensembl:lncRNA